rnacentral:rRNA from 1 species
GAGGUCCCGCCUGCCCACUGAAUCAUUUAACGGCCGCGGUACUCUGACCGUGCAAAGGUAGCACAAUCACUUGUUCUCUAAAUAAGGACUAGAAUCAACGGCAUCACGAGGGUCUUACUGUCUCCUUUUUCCAAUCAGUGAAACUGAUCUUCCCGUGAAGAAGCGGGAAUAACUUUAUAAGACGAGAAGACCCCAUGGAGCUUCAAACUCAAUAGUUACCCCAUGCAAACUACACAACAGUUUAGGGAAAUAACUAUUAAUUUUAGGUUGGGGUGACCACGGAGAAUAGCUUAACCUCCGCAAUGAAAAGAAAAAUACCUUUAUCUAUGAGCAACACCUCUAAGAAUUAAUAAAUUAACAUAUAAUGAUCCGAUCUCACGCUCGAUCAAUGAACCAAGUUACCCUGGGGAUAACAGCGCCAUCCACUUUGAGAGUUCAUAUCGACAAGUGGGUUUACGACCUCGAUGUUGGAUCAGGGUAUCCUAGUGGUGCAGCCGCUACUAAAGGUUCGUUUGUUCAACGAUUAAAACCCU